ensembl:lncRNA
CCAUCAAUAUCAUCAUCACAAUCAUCAUGUUCAUCACCAUCAUUAUCAUCAUCAUCAUCACAAUCAUCUUCAUCACCAUCAUCUUCAUCAUUAUCACAAUCAUCAUCAUCUUCAUCAUUAGCGAUAUCAAUUAUAGUCUUCAUCAUCAUCGGUUACAUUCUCAUCGUUUCUGUUUAUUAAAUACUUGUAUAGCAUUUAGUUUCUUUUUUUAAUAAUAUGUAUCAUCCAUUUCAAUGUUUUUUUACAUAAGAAUAAAGUUUAGAAUAAAUAAAGAAUAAAGAAUAAAGUUCAGGAGAAGAAUUAACAGCAUCAGACUGGGAGAGACAGAAAGAAAGAGGUGGUGGUGGUGGUGAUGAUGAUGGAGAGAGAGGUGGUGGUGGUGAUGAUGAUGGAGAGAGAGGUGGUGGUGGUGAUGAUGAUGAUGAUGGAGAGAGAGGUGGUGGUGGUGGUGGUGAUGAUGAUGAUGGAGAGAGAGGUGGUGGUGGUGGUGGUGAUGAUGAUGAUGGAGAGAGAGGUAGUGGUGGUGGUGGUGGUGAUGAUGAUGAUGAUGAUGGAGAGAGAGGUGGUGGUGGUGGUGGUGAUGAUGAUGAUGGAGAGAGCGGUAGUGGUGGUGGUGGUGAUGAUGGAGAAAGAGGU